rnacentral:rRNA from 1 species
AUGAACGCUAGCGACAGGCUUAACACAUGCAAGUCGAGGGGCAGCACAGGUAGCAAUACCGGGUGGCGACCGGCGCACGGGUGAGUAACGCGUAUGCAACUUACCUAUCAGAGGGGGAUAACCCGGCGAAAGUCGGACUAAUACCGCAUGAAGCAGGGGCCCCGCAUGGGGAUAUUUGCUAAAGAUUCAUCGCUGAUAGAUAGGCAUGCGUUCCAUUAGGCAGUUGGCGGGGUAACGGCCCACCAAGCCGACGAUGGAUAGGGGUUCUGAGAGGAAGGUCCCCCACAUUGGUACUGAGACACGGACCAAACUCCUACGGGAGGCAGCAGUGAGGAAUAUUGGUCAAUGGCCGAGAGGCUGAACCAGCCAAGUCGCGUGAGGGAUGAAGGUUCUAUGGAUCGUAAACCUCUUUUAUAAGGGAAUAAAGUGCGGGACGUGUCCCGUUUUGUAUGUACCUUAUGAAUAAGGAUCGGCUAACUCCGUGCCAGCAGCCGCGGUAAUACGGAGGAUCCGAGCGUUAUCCGGAUUUAUUGGGUUUAAAGGGUGCGUAGGCGGCCUUUUAAGUCAGCGGUGAAAGUCUGUGGCUCAACCAUAGAAUUGCCGUUGAAACUGGGGGGCUUGAGUAUGUUUGAGGCAGGCGGAAUGCGUGGUGUAGCGGUGAAAUGCAUAGAUAUCACGCAGAACCCCGAUUGCGAAGGCAGCCUGCCAAGCCAUGACUGACGCUGAUGCACGAAAGCGUGGGGAUCAAACAGGAUUAGAUACCCUGGUAGUCCACGCAGUAAACGAUGAUCACUAGCUGUUUGCGAUACACUGUAAGCGGCACAGCGAAAGCGUUAAGUGAUCCACCUGGGGAGUACGCCGGCAACGGUGAAACUCAAAGGAAUUGACGGGGGCCCGCACAAGCGGAGGAACAUGUGGUUUAAUUCGAUGAUACGCGAGGAACCUUACCCGGGUUUGAACGCAUUCGGACCGAGGUGGAAACACCUUUUCUAGCAAUAGCCGUUUGCGAGGUGCUGCAUGGUUGUCGUCAGCUCGUGCCGUGAGGUGUCGGCUUAAGUGCCAUAACGAGCGCAACCCUUGCCACUAGUUACUAACAGGUAAAGCUGAGGACUCUGGUGGGACUGCCAGCGUAAGCUGCGAGGAAGGCGGGGAUGACGUCAAAUCAGCACGGCCCUUACAUCCGGGGCGACACACGUGUUACAAUGGCGUGGACAAAGGGAAGCCACCUGGCGACAGGGAGCGAAUCCCCAAACCACGUCUCAGUUCGGAUCGGAGUCUGCAACCCGACUCCGUGAAGCUGGAUUCGCUAGUAAUCGCGCAUCAGCCAUGGCGCGGUGAAUACGUUCCCGGGCCUUGUACUCACCGCCCGUCAAGCCAUGGGAGCCGGGGGUACCUGAAGUCCGUAACCGCGAGGAUCGGCCUAGGGUAAAACUGGUGACUGGGGCU